AAAAAAACCAAUCAGCCCCAGCUCUUCAGCUUCCAAUCAAAAAGCACAGAAGGGUUUGUUUCUAAUCCAGACUAGACUAGACCAAAAAACCUAGGAAGGGUUGCCAAUCGACUACUAGUGUAUAGAAGUGUGAGAUGGCAGCUCUACUUUUAUCUUAUUAAAUCCAACAAAUUGAAUCCAAAAAAGGUCCCCUACUUCCAUUCGCUGCAAAUCAUGGAGGAGCUCUCUUCGGCAUCUUUGUGUUGAUAGCCACGCCUCUCUUUUCCUUUUCUCGUUUGAAGAUGGGAGUGGCAGAACAGUUCUGAUAUGGAGGAGGAAACACUGUUGAUAGGAAUGGACAAGAAAUGCAACAGGGUUAAUUGCUCCAGCUAUUGUCGCAGGUUUAGGUGCCUUAACACAUACAUUGGGCACCCUCUUCCCUGUGAUAGGAGCAAGUGGAUUUGUUACAGCUGCAGCAACAACUGUUAUAGGAACUGUUGUCGAUAGUUUUAGAUAAUCUCUUAAUAGUUGUCGAUAUGUUUAGAAAGUUUGAUAUGCAUAGUUUUGGAUGGUUUAAACUUUUUGUACAGUUUAGAACUUAAGGAUAUAGUUUUCAAAUGUUUGGAAUGCAUAGACAAUUAUUGAAUGUUUAUAAUUUAUAGAUAUAGUUUCUUUUUGAUGUUUCAAACAA